GCCACCUCUAAGAGACAAGUCACCAGCCAAAACUCCAACCUGAAGAUUCAAGCCAAAGACUUCCUGGACAAUGAGAAAACUGAGGAACGCAAGUUUAAUGACUAACUCAAGGUCCUCAUAGCUGAUACUGUGUGGC
rnacentral:lncRNA from 1 species